GUCCCUGUAGCGCAAUGGAUAGCGCGUUGGACUUUUAAUCCAAAGGUCGUGGGUUCGAAGAAUCCCACCUGGAAUG